CUUAACACAUGCAAGUCGAACGAUGAAGCACCAGCUUGCUGGUGUGGAUUAGUGGCGAACGGGUGAGUAACACGUGAGCAACCUGCCCCGGACUUUGGGAUAAGCGCUGGAAACGGCGUCUAAUACCGAAUACGCACCAUGGAGGCAUCUUCAAUGGUGGGAAAGAUUUAUCGGUCCGGGAGGGGCUCGCGGCCUAUCAGCUUGUUGGUGAGGUAAUGGCUCACCAAGGCGUCGACGGGUAGCCGGCCUGAGAGGGUGACCGGCCACACUGGGACUGAGACACGGCCCAGACUCCUACGGGAGGCAGCAGUGGGGAAUAUUGCACAAUGGGCGCAAGCCUGAUGCAGCAACGCCGCGUGAGGGAUGACGGCCUUCGGGUUGUAAACCUCUUUUAGUAGGGAAGAAGCCUUCGGGUGACAGUACCUGCAGAAAAAGCGCCGGCUAACUACGUGCCAGCAGCCGCGGUAAUACGUAGGGCGCAAGCGUUAUCCGGAAUUAUUGGGCGUAAAGAGCUCGUAGGCGGCUUGUCGCGUCUGCUGUGAAAACUGGAGGCUCAACUUCCAGCGUGCAGUGGGUACGGGCAGGCUAGAGUGCGGUAGGGGAGAUUGGAAUUCCUGGUGUAGCGGUGGAAUGCACA
rnacentral:rRNA from 1 species